rnacentral:sRNA from 1 species
CACACAUACAUAUGCAUGUGACCCAAGCUGUAGAAACAGGUGAAAUAAUGAGGGAAUAUGUAUUGAUGACUUGGAUUCUGCCUUGUCAAGGACCAUAGGUGCCUCAGACCAAUGGUCUUCUUCAUCCCUCUGAGAUUUAGAGGGGUGACAAAACCUUCCUCUGCUCCCAGUAUGAGUAUUUAUGAUCAAACUUCCUCCUCUCAGAUAACUACAGCCUGAGACAGAUUCCCCUACUAAGUCCUACCAAGACUAGCUAGCUGCUCCUCCUGCUAAACACACUGAUAGUCCAGGGUUUUGUGUAGCUGGUGCUGGUAAGUAUGGCCUUCCUGAUCCCCACUUCUCUAUAUAUGUGUCUGUCCUUUCUUCAUUUUCUUGUCCUUCCAGUCAGGUUGCCAGGACUGAGCUAUUGAGGCCACAGUGCCCAGGGAGACCCACUUAGGCUGAAUCUGCCCAAGGAGCAAGGGUUGCCAGGCAGCAGGACCAGGAUGACAUUCUGCUCGGUGUGAGGCAAGACCAUGGUGUAAGAAUGGUAGUCAGGCCAGGAGUAUGAACUGUGGAGAGGUGGCCAAGAUGCCUACAUAGGGGUCAGCAGCAGACUCGAACUUCUCUGGUAAAGUCUCUAGACUCCCAAGAGAAGAACCCUGCUGGACACAAGCAGGAAACUAGGUCCCCCGAAGGAGAACAGGAAUAUGGCAAAAAGGCUUGGAUUCCAGAUUCAAGAACCAUUUACAGUGAGACCUAGUGAUAGCCAUCAAUAGUCUGGGUGAGGUGAAAGAGGGCAGGACCCCAGCAUUCUGUGCUGUCUCACAUACCAGGAGGAAGGAGGCCUAGAGUCCUGAAAUCUGGGAAGAGCUGUCCAGCUGCUCACCCUGAGCUGAGGUCCACAGAUGGCUUUGGUCAAGAUUGUCCUCCUCUGAGCAAAGACCAAAGAUGUGCUAACACUGCAAGUUCCUGCCCACUACCCAAGUGUGUGUGCCAUUCACCACAGCCUAUGCAGAGAAAGGCUGGAAGAGGUCUGUGUUCAAUGUGAUUGCAGUACCUUCAAAGUGCCUGUAAGCCACGGGUGAGUAGGCAAACUUCCUCGGGUGUCAGGUUCCACAUCUACUGAUGGCAAAGACAGAUGCCUGUGGCUCUUAUGGAGGUUCUGUGAGACAAACUUCAUAAAGCGAGUGCUUAGCACCACUGUGGUGACGUCAACACAGCUAAGUAUGGUUAUUACCACUGUGGAUAUAGCUAAGCAUUGUCUUCUACGGCCCUCUCCCCUCUAGCUCCUGUAGCUGAAGUACACUGCAGAUAGAGUUCUGCUCUAUGGCCAGGCUGCGGAAAGGUGGCCUUGACGGGUAGCUCUCAGAAGCAUGAUGGAAGUCAGCAGUGAGCAUCUCCUUCGUGGCACACUGGCAGGAGCCGUAGCACCAGGACGACGUUUGGUAUGCCAGGCACAUCCUGUGCCUCACACAUCCAGGGACUGCAAUCAGGUAGCUGAUGAGAAUUCAAGUCACAUCGCCUGGACCAUUGCCGCAGUGAACUGAUUCAUGCUGCUACUUCGAGGUGGGAGAAGGGACAGUGGGGCCCAGAGACAAACCAGCCUGGCUCUAUUAUACAGCUGCUGUUCUCAAGCUGAAACGUUCCGUCCUUUCCCACUCCCUGUCUUGCUGCUGAGCUGGCUACCUGUGAAGCCUGAAGAUUCCAGCCCCAGGUUCUGACUGAACAAUGGUAUUAUGUGAUGUAUAAAGAGUACCCAGGCAACGGAGACAGGCAUGGCUUCAUUCACUCAGUGCCCAGUGGCUUUUGAACGCUCCAGCAUUCAGCCUUUAUCCUGAGCAGCUCUGGGCCUCUCCCCUCCCAUUUAUUGCUCAGCUGUCCUCAUCAUAAUCUUUCCCCUGUCUGCAAGAGAGCCAUGAAUGAGGGAAGGAAAGGGGGGAGACAAAGAUACUCUGGUAACCAGAAAGACUCCUGAUUGUGGGUGAAGAGAUCUGAGGUUUGGUCUCUGGUGCCAUCACUCAUGAGGGAACCUUGAGUGCAUCUCUAGUCAGCUCCAGGUUCCCUUCCCGAUCUAAGUCUCUGGUAAGAGAAUCAGGAAGAAAGUCCAACGGGAGCUUUGCCAACUCUGACAUUCUAUCAUGUGGUUGUGACAAGUCCCCAGGACCACUGAGGAAUGGAGAGAGCUAACCAACGGGGACAAAGUACCAGAAACACCUAUUGUGACUCAUCUGUGAUGGUGACUAACAAGACCAAGGUCCACAGAUGAGGAAGUUAUGCCUGUGAGAGAGGUCAAGUUGCCCAAGCAUGACCCAGUCUGACCUGGCUUGUGUUGCUGACCAUCAGGAACCCCUCACCAAGCAUCAACACAGAUAUCCAGAGGCCCAGGGCUAGUGGUGGGAGCUGAGCCUCAAAGGCUCUUGAUUCUGUGAACUCCUGAAUGCAGUGAAGUGAAGCACCUGCUCAGAACCAUCAUCGAUGAUCUUGGAGAAACAUACAAAAGAAAUGCUGUCCCCAUGCAGAGGGCGAAGGCAGUACUGGUAGGUGUACAGUUCUGGAAGGCUCCAUGGACUUGACAAAGUGCUCUCCUAGAUCAAGAAGGACAAGCAGAAUCUUAAGAGAGCUGACUGGACAGGUGGGAAGAGUGUGCUCCAACAGAGGCUGCAGAGGAGAGCAUUGUUCUGGAGAAACACUGAGCUUGAGGACACAGCAGCCCUCUGAUCAAAGACUCUCAAGAAGACCGAACUGAACUGAGCUGAAGGCAUGACCUUCCCAUGUCUAAGAGAAAGCAAAAAUAGUUGAAUCCAGACCUUCCCCAUCUGGACAAGCAGAGUCCAGAGCAGGUCUAGCCCAACCCUCAGUGAACACUGUAGAGGGAGACAUGAAGCAGAGGAAGACUCGGUGAGAGCCAGAAAUGUGAUGAAAUACCAACAGAUAAGCUCAGCAAAGCACCUUCACAGUCUUGAUUUCUUAUAAAUAACAAGUGCUCCGUGUGGUGUUGGCCAGGCUAAGCCUCCCUGUGCAUGAAUUCUUUUCAUUCAUUUCUUCAUCUGUUGUGGAAAGAGAUUUGAGUUGCCCAUUUCCCCAAUGAGUUGAGCUCUGUGGUGAAUGAAUCAUUUGUCUAAGUCUCUGACUAGAAAUGACAGUGACAGAAGCAUCCAGGGUUGUCUGACUCCAAAGCCCACCUGAGGUGGGUCUGUCUUCAGUGAUGGGAAGCAGAGCAACCCUGGAAAUGUAUGCUACAGGAUCAUUAGCAUGAUUUAAUAAGCCGUUCCCUUGAGCCAGGAUUGCCAACAGCUCCAUCUGACAUGGCCAUAUGGGUCACCACACUAGGGGAAGAGGCUAACUAUCUCCAGUCUUUGUGGGAAACCCUGUCCUGGCCAGGAAGGGGAAGUUUUAAGUGAUGUAUUAAAAACAGG